rnacentral:rRNA from 1 species
GACGAACGCUGGCGGCGUGCUUAACACAUGCAAGUCGAACGGAAAGGCCCUUCUUUUGUGGGGUGCUCGAGUGGCGAACGGGUGAGUAACACGUGAGUAACCUGCCCUUGACUUUGGUAUAACUUCAGGAAACUGGGGCUAAUACCGGAUAGGAUCUCCUGCUUCAUGGUGGGGGUUGGAAAGUUUCGGCGGUUGGGGAUGGACUCGCGGCUUAUCAGCUUGUUGGUGGGGUAGUGGCUUACCAAGGCUUUGACGGGUAGCCGGCCUGAGAGGGUGACCGGCCACAUUGGGACUGAGAUACGGCCCAGACUCCUACGGGAGGCAGCAGUGGGGAAUAUUGCACAAUGGGCGGAAGCCUGAUGCAGCAACGCCGCGUGCGGGAUGACGGCCUUCGGGUUGUAAACCGCUUUCGCCUGUGACGAAGCGUGAGUGACGGUAAUGGGUAAAGAAGCACCGGCUAACUACGUG